GUAGGGUGCGAGCGCUAAUCGGAAUUACUGGGCGUAAAGCGUGCGCAGGCGGUUAUGUAAGACAGAUGUGAAAUCCCCGGGCUCAACCUGGGACCUGCAUUUGUGACUGCAUAGCUAGAGUACGGUAGAGGGGGAUGGAAUUCCGCGUGUAGCAGUGAAAUGCGUAGAUAUGCGGAGGAACACCGAUGGCGAAGGCAAUCCCCUGGACCUGUACUGACGCUCAUGCACGAAAGCGUGGGGAGCAAACAGGAUUAGAUACCCUGGUAGUCCACGCCCUAAACGAUGUCAACUGGUUGUUGGGUCUUCACUGACUCAGUAACGAAGCUAACGCGUGAAGUUGACCGCCUGGGGAGUACGGCCGCAAGGUUG
rnacentral:rRNA from 1 species